rnacentral:rRNA from 1 species
UAAGGAAUAUUGCUCAAUGGGAGAAAUCCUGGAGCAGCAACGCCGCGUGGAGGAUGAAGGGUCUAUGACUUGUAAACUCCUGUAAAGAAGGAAAAAAUUCCCAUUAGAUGGGAGAUGAUGGUACUUCUGGAGUAAGCCCCGGCUAACUACGUGCCAGCAGCCGCGGUAAUACGUAGGGGGCAAGCGUUGUCCGGAUUUACUGGGUGUAAAGGGUGCUCAGGCGGAUUUGUAAGUCAGAGGUGAAAUCUUACAGCUUAACUGUGAAACUGCCUCUGAUACUGCAAGCCUAGAGUAUGGAAGAGAGUGAUUGAAUAUCUGGUGUAGCAGUGAAAUGCGUAGAUAUCAGAUAGAACACCAAUGGCGAAGGCAGUCACUUGGUCCAUUACUGACGCUAAAGCACGAAAGCGUGGGUAGCAAACA